AUGGAAAAAAUGAUAGUAAGAAGAUUAAAUUAUUUUUUGGAGAAAAAUGAGAUUUUAUCAUCAGCUCAAAGUGGGUUUAGAAGGAAAAGAUCUACAAUGGACGCUUUGCUAUUAUUUGAAAAUGAGGUUAAAAAAGCUUUAACAAUGAAAGAAUUUCUUGUUGCUGUUUUCUUUGAUAUUGAAAAGGCAUACGACACUUUAUGGAGGGAGGGACUAUUAAUUAAGCUAGAUAAAAUUGGAGUAGGGGGGAGGAUGUACAACUGGAUAUUGGAUUUCUUGUUUAAGCGUACAUUUCAGGUUAGAAUAGGAGAAGAAAUGUCAACACUGCAUGAUAUUCUGAAUGGGACUCCACAAGGAAGUGUAAUUAGUCCAAUUUUAUUCAAUAUAAUGAUUAAUGAUAUUUAUGAAAGAGUUAAACCAAGUAUGGGGAAGGCACUAUAUGCAGAUGAUGGUGCAGUGUGGAAAAGAGGUAGGAACCUAGGGAAUGUAGUCAAAGGAAUACAAGAAUCAAUAACUGAAGUUGAAAGGUGGUCAGUGGAAUGGGGACUGAAGUUUUCAGUAUUAAAGACCCAAUAUAUGGUUUUCACAAAGAAAAGGAAAGUGGAGCAAAUUACUUUGAAAUUGUAUGGUCAAUUAUUAGAAAGAGUGACAGAAUUUAAAUACCUUGGGUUAAUAUUUGAUGGAAAACUAAUAUGGAAUAGACAUAUUAAGAAAAUUGAGAAUAAAUGUAAAGGAGUAAUAAAUUGCAUGACAUCAAUAGCCAAAUAUGAGUGGGGAGCAAGGAAAAGCAUACUACUAAAUGUAUAUCAAGCCUUAAUACGGUCAAGUUUAGAUUACGGAUGUGUAGUGUAUGGUGCUGCAGCAAAAUCAGAGCUAAAGAAGUUGGAUAAUGUACAGGCUAGGGCACUUAGAAUUUGUUGUGGAGCAAUAAGAUCAACCCCUUUAGAUGCCAUUAGCGUUGAAAUGGGAGAGAUGCCACUAGACUUAAGAAGGAAAAAGCUUACAAUGAUGUACUGGGUUAAUUUACAGGGUUGCAAUAAGAGUCAUCGCACACGAGAAAUUUUAAAUGACUGUUGGGAAUAUAAAAAGAAUAAUGGGAAUAGUUUUGGAUGGAAGUAUAAACAAUGGGUUAAGGAAUGUGGUCUGGAAAAUGUAGAUAUUUGUUCCAAUAUGCCAUUAAAAGGGGUAUCGGUGUGGAAUAUUCCUGAACCUAAUGUUGAAAUGAGAUUGCUGGAGGAUCGGGAGAAAGCAGAAGAUAGAUAUUCUAAUAGUUAUGAAAUUAAUGGUUUUAUGAGAGAAAAUUUUUAUUCUUGUAUACAGAUUUAUACAGAUGGAUCUAAAGACCCAGUUGAACAAAAAGUGGGAGUAGGAGUAUAUAUUCCAAAAUUUGAGACAAAAAUAAGUUUAAGGUUGAGUGAUAAAAUGUCUGUAUAUUCAACAGAACUAACUGCUAUAAUAGUAGGGUUGCAGUGGUUAGAGGAGACUAAACCAAAUAGGAUGCCAACUGUAAUUUGCUCAGAUUCUGCAUCAGCACUUAAAAGUAUAUUGUCAACAAAAACUGACAGAGAAGAUCUGCUAGUAGAAAUUUAUACAUUAUUAUAUAGGUUGAACAUAGAGGGUAUAAUUGUAUACUUUUGUUGGGUGCCGGCACAUAUUGGGAUAGUAGGAAACGAAAUAGCGGAUAAGUUAGCAAAAGAAGCGUUAAGGAAAGAAUUGAUAGAUAUUAAGAUACCUUUAGGAAGAAAUGAAGUUAGAUCAAUAAUUAACAGAGAAAUAACAAAAAUAUGGCAACAAAGAUGGGAUAGUAGCAGUACAGGUAGGUGGUAUUAUAGUAUUGUUAAGUCAGUAGGGAAAAAAGAAUCGUGCUAUGGAAGGCAUAGAAAAGAAGAAGUAAUGAUUUCUAGACUAAGGAUGGGGCAUACAGGAUUAAACUCAACACUGGCAUUAAUGGGAAAACAUGGAAAUGGUAUGUGUGAUGAAUGUGGUGUGGUUGAAACAGUAGAACAUGUGUUUUUUAAGUGUAGUAAAUAUGAAGAACAGCGUAGUGAUCUUUUUAAAAAUAUAAAGAACAGGUCAGUGAGUAUAAUGGAUUUAUUGGGAAAGGGUUUGAGUGAUAGACAGAGGUUUAAGGACGUGAUGACAUUUUUAGAGCUUACAGGACUAGAUCACCGGAUCUAG
ensembl:lncRNA